rnacentral:rRNA from 1 species
GACGAACGCUGGCGGCGUGCCUAAUACGUGCAAGUCGAGCGGACCAAAUCGGAGCUUGCUCUGAUUUGGUCAGCGGCGGACGGGUGAGUAACACGUGGCAACCUGCCCGCAAGACCGGGAUAACUCCGGGAAACCGGAGCUAAUACCGGAUAACACCGAAGACCGCAUGGUCUUUGGUUGAAAGGCGGCCUUUGGCUGUCACUUGCGGAUGGGCCCGCGGCGCAUUAGCUAGUUGGUGAGGCAACGGCUCACCAAGGCGACGAUGCGUAGCCGGCCUGAGAGGGUGACCGGCCACACUGGGACUGAGACACGGCCCAGACUCCUACGGGAGGCAGCAGUAGGGAAUCUUCCGCAAUGGGCGAAAGCCUGACGGAGCGACGCCGCGUGAGCGAAGAAGGCCUUCGGGUCGUAAAGCUCUGUUGUGAGGGACGAAGGAGCGCCGUUCGAAGAGGGCGGCGCGGUGACGGUACCUCACGAGGAAGCCCCGGCUAACUACGUGCCAGCAGCCGCGGUAAUACGUAGGGGGCGAGCGUUGUCCGGAAUUAUUGGGCGUAAAGCGCGCGCAGGCGGUUCCUUAAGUCUGAUGUGAAAGCCCACG